GUCCUUAUGCUAGGGUUAGAGCUUCUGACAGUGAGGAGAAAUCCGAGUCGAAGCAAUUGCUGGUUGCAAAAAACAAAUCCUACAGUUGUAUUGCGUCGUAAGACCGAUACACAAUUUCUGGAAACCUUGAUUCUUCUAUGAAGACUCUCAAAACUAUACAUUUAACUUUUUGCGUUUUAGACGAGAAGAGAGAAGG
rnacentral:snRNA from 18 species